GGAUGUGAGGCCGGUCUGUCACCCCACUGAUCGCGAGGGUUGAUUCAGCUGAUCUGGCCUGCUAGGUGGGUCCCCUUCCUCCCUCCUCGCUCCAUGUGCGUCCCUCCCCAAGCUGCAGGCUCGUUCAAAGAGGACGGCCUUCCCCAAAUAGAGACGGGCCUGUUUUUGGUCAAGGGUAUAGGAGUAGCUGCGUUCCCCUGCUAGAACCUCCAAACAGUGCACAGGGACCCAAGUUCAACCCCCCAGCCCCCACUUGUAGGAGGAAAGCUUCGCAAGUGGUGAAGCAGGGCUACAGGUGUCUGUCUUUCUCUCCU
rnacentral:snRNA from 1 species